rnacentral:rRNA from 1 species
AUUGAACGCUGGCGGUAGGCCUAACACAUGCAAGUCGAGCGGCUGAAGGGUGCUUGCUUCUGGAUUCAGCGGCCGACGGGCGGGUAAGGCCUAGGUACCUGCCUGUUUGUUGUUGCUUACGUGCUGACAUGGGCGCACAUACCGCAUUCGUCCUUAGGGCGUAAGUGGGGGAUCUUCGGAUCUUCCGAUCUUAGAUGAUCCUAUGUCGGAUUAGCUAGUUGGUGGGGUAAAGGCCUACCAAGGCGACGAUCCGUAGCUGGUCUGAGAGGAUGAUCAGUCACACUGGAACUGAGACACGGUCCAGACUCCUACGGGAGGCAGCAGUGGGGAAUAUUGGACAAUGGGCGAAAGCCUGAUCCAGCCAUGCCGCGUGUGUGAAGAAGGUCUUCGGAUUGUAAAGCACUUUUGGUUGGGAGGAAGAGCAGUAAGUUAAUACCUUGCUGUUUUGACGUUACCAACAGAAUAAGCACCGGCUAACUUCGUG